rnacentral:rRNA from 1 species
GAGUUUGAUCGUGGCUCAGGAUGAAUGCUGGCGGCGUGCCUAACACAUGCAAGUCGAGCGGUAAGGCCCCUUCGGGGGUACACGAGCGGCGGACGGCUGAGUAACGCGUGGGAACAUACCCCAAAGUGAGGGAUAAGCUCCAGAAAUGGAGUCUAAUACCGCAUAUGAUCUUCGGAUUAAAGGAUUUAUCCGCUUUGGGAAUGGCCUGCGUACGAUUAGAUAGUUGGUGAGGUAAUGGCUUACCAAGUCUACGAUCGUUAGCUGGUCUGAGAGGAUGACCAGCCAGACUGGAACUGAGACACGGUCCAGACUCCUACGGGAGGCAGCAGUGAGGAAUAUUCCACAAUGGGGAAACCCUGAUGGAGCAACGCCGCGUGCAGGAUG